rnacentral:rRNA from 1 species
UACGUAGGGCGCAAGCGUUGUCCGGAAUUAUUGGGCGUAAAGGGUGCGUAGGUGGCGCGGUAAGUCGGGUGUGAAAUCUCGGAGCUUAACUCCGAAAUUGCAUUCGAUACUGCCGUGCUCGAGGACUGGAGAGGAGACUGGAAUUCAUGGUGUAGCAGUGAAAUGCGUAGAUAUCAAGCGGAACACCAGUGGCGAAGGCGAGUCCCUGGACAACUCCUGACACUGAUGCACGAAAGCUAGGGGAGCAAACAGG